rnacentral:misc_RNA from 1 species
UAUAUCCACAACUUAUUUUUGCGUUUUAAAAUUCAGCACUUACUAGUUAUUCAGCCCUUAUUUUUUCAAUUUUACAAAAUAUUUCCUAAACACCCCAAAAUAAGUACUAUUGAACAAAGUAUAUGCAUCAUAUUAAUGACGUGAAACGAUUACGAAAAACUAGAAAAAAUAAAAUCUUUAAUCUUAUAAAACAUCACCUAACACAGCCCAAAAUUAGUACACUUGAACAAGUAUAUGUAUCAUAUUGAUGACUUGAAACAAUUAGGAAAAUUACAUAAAUUCAAGCUCAUUACACGCGGUAAAGAAUUUUUGCUCAUCAUAGGAAAGUAGCAUUCAAGAAAUCAGAAGUUUGUUAUGGCUUUGGAAACCACAUUAUCAAAGGUGUAAUUAGCAAUUUUAAGUUAUUUCACCAUUCAAUAUAUCAAUAAAGAUGCCUCAAUACCGAGCUCCAUUUCAACUGCAUACAAAUUCUUCAUGUAGCAAUAAUAAUCUUACAAUAUAUAAUGUUCCAACACCAAUUAAGAUUACCUCAUCAAUCAUCCCCUUUUCAAA